rnacentral:rRNA from 1 species
GACGAACGCUGGCGGCGUGCUUAACACAUGCAAGUCGAACGGAAAGGCCCUGCUUUUGUUGGGUGCUCGAGUGGCGAACGGGUGAGUAACACGUGAGUAACCUGCCCUUGACUUUGGGAUAACUUCAGGAAACUGGGGCUAAUACCGGAUAGGAGCUCCUGCUGCAUGGUGGGGGUUGGAAAGUUUCGGCGGUUGGGGAUGGACUGGCGGCUUAUCAGCUUGUUGGUGGGUGAGUGGCUUACAAAGGCUUUGGGGGGUAGCCGGCUUGGGAGGGGGACCGGCCACAUGGGGCUGGGGAUACGGCCCAGAUCCCAAGGGGAGGAAGCAGUGGGGAAUAUGGAACAAGGGGCGGAAGCUGGAGGCAGAAACGCGGGGGGCGGGAUGACGGCUUCGGGGUGGUAAACCGCUUUAGCAGGUGACGAAGUGUGAGUGACGGUAAUGGGUAAAGAAGCACCGGCUAACUACGUG